rnacentral:rRNA from 1 species
UGGCGGACGGGUGAGUAACGCGUAAAGAACUUGCCCUUUAGACUGGGAUAACAGAGGGAAACUUCUGAUAAUACUGGAUAAGUUAGUAUAUCGCAUGAUAUGCAAAUGAAAGCUACGGCACUAAAGGAGAGCUUUGCGUCCUAUUUGCUAGUUGGUAAGGUAAGAGCUUACCAAGGCGAUGAUAGGUAGCCGGCCUGAGAGGGUGGACGGCCACAAGGGGACUGAGAUACGGCCCUUACUCCUACGGGAGGCAGCAGC